AUUGAACGCUGGCGUCAUGCUUUACACAUGCAAGUCGAACGGUAACAGGCCUUCGGGUGCUGACGAGUGGCGAACGGGUGAGUAAUGCAUCGGAACGUACCCAGAGGUGGGGGAUAACGCAGCGAAAGCUGUGCUAAUACCGCAUGUGAUCUGAGGAUGAAAGCGGGGGACCGAGCAGCAAUGUUUUGCCUCGCGCCUUUGGAGCGGCCGAUGUCGGAUUAGCGAGUUGGUGGGGUAAAGGCCUACCAAGGCGACGAUCCGUAGCUGGUCUGAGAGCACGACCAGCCACACUGGGACUUAGACACGGCCCAGACUCCUACGGGAGGCAGCAGUGGGGAAUUUUGGACAAUGGGCGCAAGCCUGAUCCAGCAAUGCCGCGUGCGGGAAGAAGGCCUUCGGGUUGUAAACCGCUUUUGGCAGGAACGAAACGGUGUCCGCUAAUACCGGGCGCUAAUGACGGUACCUGCAGAAUAAGCACCGGCUAACUACGUG
rnacentral:rRNA from 1 species